rnacentral:rRNA from 1 species
CCUUUGUACACACCGCCCGUCGCUACUACCGAUUGAAUGGCUUAGUGAGGUCUUCGGAUUGGCUCAGAGAGGUCGGCAACGACCACUCAGAGCCGGAAACUUGGUCAAACUUGGUCAUUUAGAGG